GUUUAAUCUGGAGGAUGUGAGAGGUUCCCCUCCGACUCGAGCUGCAGAACACUUGUUAGAUUUUAGGAAGUGUCCCAUCAGUUUAUGGAAUAUUAGUUGGCAUCACACGUAAAAAUACAAAGGAGGUAAAGAGCCAAAUUAAGUUAAAAUACAUUUAUUCUCUCAAACAUGUUUCAGGAAAACAAAAUAACUUAAAUUAAUGCAGCCGGCUGGAGCGAAAAAGCAGAGAUAGUAAAUCAGCCAUUUGUUUCCAAGCGCGAUUUGACUUUGUGAAAUGGCCUCGCUCCAUCUACGAGCGUCUGAAGGUUCCCCGUCAACCAGUUCUCCCAGACUCUGGACCACCAGACAGGUACGUGAGGAACACUGUUGGGUUCUUAUCGGUACCAUGAGGGCGUGUUUUCAUGAAGGUGGUUCUGGGUAGACGUGACGGUCCUUUUCUCUGCAGGUGUGAACACGUCACCUCUCUGGUGGAGAGCAAGAAAGCCCAGCUGGUCAUCAUCGCCCACGAUGUGGAUCCCAUUGAGCCUAAAGGAAAGAAGGUGGUCAACCCCUUGUUUGAGAAGAGGACAAAGAACUUCGGCAUCGGUCAAGAUAUUCAGCCCUCUUUGUGAAAUGGACUCGUUCAUCCAGGAUCUGGACCGCCAGACCACCACACAGCUGUUGAAGCUGGCCCACGAGUACCGGCCAGAGACGAAGAAGCAGAGGCUGCUGGGAGAGAAGAUACCGAGAGGCCUCCUGUCCUCCGUGCAGGUGUGA
ensembl:lncRNA